CGUAAUUCCAUUACAACACAACGCGACACGUGCUGUUUUCCGGGAUAGAAUUCUGUGAUACAGCGUUGUCAUGUGAACGCAGUUUAAUGUUUUAUUUUUUAUACAUAGAAGAGUGAUAAGCGGCUGUGAAUAAGGAGAGGAAUAAAAGCCCCAUCAGGAUGUUUGUGUUGGUCGAAAUGAUCGACACUGUACGGAUCCCUCCGUGGAAUUUCCACCGGCAGCUGAACGACGCCAUCGCCGAGGAGCUCAACAAGAAACUGGCCAACAAGGUGGUGUAUAACGUCGGCUUGUGCAUCUGCCUCUAUGACAUCACCAAACUGGAGGACUCCUACAUCUUCCCCGGAGACGGAGCCUCUCACACUAAAGUGCACUUCAGGUAUGUGGUGUUUCACCCGUUUUUGGAUGAGGUUCUGGUCGGGAAGAUCAAAUACUGCAGUCAGGAGGGAGUGUAUGUCAGCCUUGGAUUCUUUGAUGACAUCCUAAUCCCACCUGAGUCCCUGCAGCAGCCUGCGAAAUUCGAUGAAAACGAGCAGGUCUGGGUGUGGGAGUACGAGACGGACGAAGGAGCUCAUGACCUCUACAUGGACCAGGGUGAGGAGAUCCGAUUCCGGAUUGUGGACGAGUUGUUCCUGGAUACGUCUCCGACCGGGCCCACCAAGGAGCCCGAGGCGCCGGCUCAACCUGCAGGCGCGGUGCCUGUGACCGCGACGGACGACGGGACGCAGAAGAAAGAGUCUCCUUACACACUGCUGAGCAUCGUGGGGGUUAAAUAAUACCUGAACAUGCAGCUUAUGUUUCAGUAUCAGCUUUCAGUCGUUAUUAGCAAGCUCAGCGUCUCAAGGGCCUCCAUCAGUGAGCCAGGCCUGGGCUUGCUGUCAUGGUGGAGCAGCUAACGACUGAAACCGUUGCUCCUGAUCCGGUUAUCUGUACAUCAUUGGAGACCAGCGAGCGAGAGGAUGUUUUCUCCUUUGUCUUGAGAGACAUCCCAAGGCGAAUCCCGCGCUCAUCAUCGACCGGCGGCGUCUCUCUGGUGCUCCUCUGCCCUGACCUCGACGUUUGAAGUCCAUAUUGGAUUCUGACCAACAGUUCGGCGGACCAACGGGUGAGACGUGAUUGCGUCGACGCUCAUCAAAUUUGCAUGUCCUCCUGCGCCGCUCUGUCUCAGGAAUAGACGACCUUCUUUCCUAAGGAGAGCAGUAACCGUCUUCUGUUUCAGUGACCUGGUGUGAGACAACACCAGUUUCUGUGUAUCUUACUGUAUAUAUGUGUGUUGUUUUUUUUUUGAGGGAGGGAUAUAUUUAUUUUGCUUUAAAAUACAGAUUUAAUCAAGUUGGAUGUCCAUUUUGAUUGGUUAAUGGGUGCCAGUGAGUGCAAAAUAAAUAAAUUUUUAUUAACAUUCA